rnacentral:rRNA from 6 species
GUGAAAUCCCCGGGCUCAACCUGGGAACUGCAUUCGAAACUGGCAGGCUUGAGUCUUGUAGAGGGGGGUAGAAUUCCAGGUGUAGCGGUGAAAUGCGUAGAGAUCUGGAGGAAUACCGGUGGCGAAGGCGGCCCCCUGGACAAAGACUGACGCUCAGGUGCGAAAGCGUGGGGAGCAAACAGGAUUAGAUACCCUGGUAGUCCACGCCGUAAACGAUGUCUACUUGGAGGUUGUGCCCUUGAGGCGUGGCUUCCGGAGCUAACGCGUUAAGUAGACCGCCUGGGGAGUACGGCCGCAAGGUUAAAACUCAAAUGAAUUGACGGGGGCCCGCACAAGCGGUGGAGCAUGUGGUUUAAUUCGAUGCAACGCGAAGAACC